GGGGAUGUAGCUCAGCGGACAGUGCCUACCUGAUAAGCGCGAAGCCCUGAGUUCGAUUCCCAGCACCCCA
rnacentral:tRNA from 1 species